AUUGAACGCUGGCGGCAGGCCUAACACAUGCAAGUCGAACGAGUGGCGGACGGGUGAGUAAUGUCUGGUAAACUGCCUGAUGGAGUGGGAUAACUACUGGAAACGGUAGCUAAUACCGCAUACCAUCAGAUGUGCCCAUAUGGGAUUAGCUUGUUGGUGGGGUAACGGCUCACCACGGAGACUAUCCAUAGCUGGUCUGAGAGGAUGACCAGCCACACUGGAACUGAGACACGGUCCAGACUCCUACGGGAGGCAGAAGUGGGGAAUAUUGCACAAUGGGCGAAAGCCUGAUGCAGCCAUGCCGCGUGUAUGAAGAAGGCCUUCGGGUUGUAAAGUACUUUCAGCAGGGAGGCGUUACCCGCAGAAGAAGCACCGGCUAACUCCGUGCCAGCAGCCGCGGUAAUAC
rnacentral:rRNA from 1 species